GAUGAACGCUGGCGGCGUGCCUAAUACAUGCAAGUCGAGCGAACAGACGCUGAUCUUGCUCCUCUGACGUUAGCGGCGGACGGGUGAGUAACACGUGGAUAACCUACCUAUAAGUCUGGGAUAACUUCGGGAAACGGGAUCUAAUACCGGAUAAUAUAUUGAACCGCAUGGUUCAAUAGUGAAAGACGGUUUUGCUGUCACUUAUAGAUGGAUACCCGCCGAAUUAGCUAGUUGGUAAGGUCACGGCUUACCAAGGCAACGAUGCGUAGCCGACCUGAGAGGGUGAUCGGCCGCACUGGAACUGAGCCGCGGUCCAGACUCCUACGGGAGGCAGCAGAAGGGAAUCGUCCGCAAUGGGCGAAAGCCUGACGGAGCGACGCCGCGUGAGUGAUGAAGGUCUUCGGAUCGUAAAACUCUGUUAUUAGGGAAGAACAAAUGUGUAAGUAACUAUGCACGUCUUGACGGUAACUAAUCAGAAAGCCACGGCUAACUACGUG
rnacentral:rRNA from 1 species